rnacentral:tRNA from 1 species
GCGGGAAUAGCUCAGUUGGUAGAGCGCGACCUUGCCAAGGUUGAGGUCGCGAGUUCGAGCCUCGUUUCCCGCUCCA